AUAAUACUUUUUAAUGUUAAGUUUGUUGUUAUUCUGAAGUUUAGAUGUUGCUUGACAAACCUUUGCUGCAGCAGAUCAUGGAUAUGAGUAAGGCUUUGUGUGAUAAUAGGGGUCCUUAUGUGAAGUUAAUUACUGUUCAGUUCUGGUGAGCAAGCUCAACAAGUGUAAAGUGUAUAUUAGCUUUAUUUGGUACACUUUUACUUUACAAUAUUGAAGUGCUUUUAGAACUCUGGUUAUCUUAUAUAAACCAUUACCUCAAUCAAUUGGCAUUUCCAUUCCCCAGCAUUUUACCUGAGCUAUUUAUAAGAUGAGCUAUAUGGGAUCAGAUAGUAAAAUAGGAAGGCACAAUGAGAAGUUUAGUUCCGAAUUUUCUGGAGAGAACUCUAAAUUAGACUAAAAAUGACUACCUGCAAAGGCUCAUACCGUAACUACCUUUUAUCGUUAGGCAGUACGUAGCAGCCUUGGAGCUGCUACUGAGCUGCGUGUUCUCCCCCUGCCCCAGGUAAGCACAUGGUGCGAGGCUUGGCUAAGCCUUUGUGACUCUUUAUUAUUUCAUUGACCCAUAAUAGUGACGCUUGGAUUCAGUCAGUUAUUUUUAUAAAACAAAUUAUUGAGUCAGCCCAGUGUCAGAACCUGAAAUUAUUUUGAGUAGUUACAGCUGAUAUGACAGCUCAGUGUCAUUUUCUAAGAGCUGUUAUCUCUGUAGGUUUAGUUUUGAAACGACACAUCUUUCUUUUGUAAUUAUUCUUUGUUUAAAUGCCAGAGUUUGUUUUUAUGUGACCCACCCUUUUCUAUGUAUUCAGGUUGCUGUCGUUGGUGAUGGAAUAUGGCAAUAGACUGAAUUGCUCUACUUAGUCUUUUAUAGGAGACAUUAAAAGUUAUAGGUUAAAUUUUGACCUUCAUGAAGAUAGCAAAGAUUGUUUUCCUUGUUACUUUCCAUUAUAAUUAGGUCUUCAUUAAUACUAUGGUCAGGCCAGUGUUAUCAAACUUAAUGGCUUUAACCAAACAGCCCAUUUGGAAACUUGAUUAAGCUAUAUAAGGAUUUUUUUUAAUCUAAUUGCUUUCAAGCACUACUGAAAAGGAAAAAAGUAUAAUCGUGGUACAAGGAAUGCAGACCUCCAAAGUCGUCUUAGUUUUUUUCUGGAUACAUUCUGUCCUUGAGACUUGAGUAGGAUUUGUGAACAUGGUGACUGAAGGGAAAAUAGAGGAAAUUCUUUUCAUAUUCUCUGUCUCUCAUUCCCAAAUAAACUCGCAGUUGCUUUUUAAAGAAGCAGACAUUGGCCCUGUAGCUGUGUGCCCUAAGUGUUAUGAAGGAGAUUGGAAGAGGGAGUUGGGAAGUAGGGUGGGGGGAAGUAAGUAAAGCUGAAGGAAGGAUUCCGCCCUAUAACUAAAUAACUAACUAAAACUGAGUCGCAGGACAGGGCACAUGGGACAGUUGGGCCGCCUUCAUUUGAUAGUCAGAAAAAUCUUCUAGAUUAUUUGAAAAGUGAGAAUCAAGACAAAUAAAUGUUGGCUUGACAGAUAACAAAAUUUGAGUUAAUUCUGCAACUAUUGGGGGGGUAAUUUUAAGGUUUCCAGUUCACGUAGAGCUAUAUCAAAAGCCGAAAAGCAAGCACUUUUAGUUAAUCGUAGAUUUAUCGGAUGUAGCAAAUAUUAUAAUCAUAAUAUUUAAUCUUUACUGUUUGAAUAUGAAAAUAAACUCUUUACCCCAUCUUGAACUGUCACUGAGCAGGUUCAAGAUGGUGUUUUCAACACUGGAAAUGACCCUACACACAUACCAAAAAAAUCUAAAGCAGUUAAGACAUAUUUUAAGAUCCAUACCUCUUAGACUUUUUAGAUUUGUCUUGGGAAAGAAUUUAUGAACCUGUAACCAGUAUUAGUGCAGUCUUGG
rnacentral:lncRNA from 1 species